AUGCGUAUCUCUCGAGACGUGACUUUUGAUGAGUCUCGUCCUUUUUACCCACGCCCAUCUUCCUCGUUUUUUUCAGUGGAGGAUAUCUCUUUCCUCACUUUUCCUGACUCCCCUAUCACUCCCGUCGCGCCUGUGCCUAUUCGUUCCACUCCCUCUGCUUCUCCACCCCUCGUCGAUGCGCCGCCACCAUCUUCCCCGGUCUCCUCACCUAGCAUGUCACCGGAUUCUACACCUUCAUCUCCGGUGACUUCUUCGUCGCCACCCCCUGAUUCUACCUUGGUGAUUCCUCCUUCUCUUGUUCCAUCUCUUCCUCAGCAUUACACUCGUCGUUCACGACCUGUGGAUGCUUCCUUGGAUGAGUCGUCCUCUUCCUCUCAGCCUACUUAUGGCUUGCGUUCUCGUCCUCGUCCGCCUAUUGAUCGCUUUGGAUUUCCCACCGCUGGUGCUGCUGUUCUUGAGCCAACUUCUUACCGUCAGGCUGUUGUUCAUCCUGAAUGGCAGUUUGCGAUGGCAGAGGAGAUUGCUGCUCUUGAACGCACUGGUACCUGGGAUCUUGUUUCUCUUCCUCCCGGAGUCCGUCCCAUCACUUGUAAGUGGGUCUACAAGGUUAAGACUCGCUCCGAUGGUUCUCUUGAGCGUCACAAAGCUCGUCUCGUGGCUCGUGGUUUUCAGCAGGAGCAUGGUCGUGAUUAUGACGAGACUUUUGCUCCUGUGGCCCAUAUGACCACUAUUCGUACACUUCUUGCUGUUGCCUCUGCACGCCACUGGUCUAUAUCUCAGCUUGAUGUUAAGAAUGCAUUUCUUAAUGGUGAGCUGCGUGAGGAGGUGUACAUGCAGCCACCACCUGGGUAUUCUGUUCCUGAUGGCAUGGUGUGUCGUCUUCGUCGCUCUCUCUAUGGCCUUAAGCAAGCCCCUCGCGCCUGGUUUGAGCGUUUUGCUUCUGUGGUCACUACUGCUGGUUUUUCAGCAAGUGCUCAUGAUCCCGCAUUGUUUAUUCACCUUUCUCCUCGUGGCCGGACUCUUCUUCUUCUCUAUGUUGAUGAUAUGGUCAUCACUGGGGAUGACCCCGAGUAUAUUGCCUUUGUAAAGGCUCGUCUUAGUGAGCAGUUUCUUAUGUCUGAUCUUGGACCUCUUCGCUACUUUCUUGGGAUUGAAGUCUCUUCUACCUCUGAUGGCUUUUUUAUAUCCCAGGAAAAGUAUAUCUAG
rnacentral:rRNA from 1 species